CACGUAGGGCGCAAGCGUUGUCCGGAAUUAUUGGGCGUAAAGAGCUCGUAGGCGGUCUGUUACGUCUGCUGUAAAAACCCGGGGCUUAACCCUGGGCUUGCAGUGGAUACGGGCAGACUAGAGGCAGGUAGGGGAGAAUGGAAUUCCCGGUGUAGCGGUGAAAUGCGCAGAUAUCGGGAGGAACACCGGUGGCGAAGGCGGUUCUCUGGGCAUGAUCUGACGCUGAGGAGCGAAAGUGUGGGGAGCGAACAGG
rnacentral:rRNA from 1 species